UCGGAGCGGGGAGAGCUGGAAAGAGGAAGGCAAGGUCACACAGGUUGCUGGGCCCAGCUCCUGGUGGAAACUGCUCUUCAAAACGCCUCCUUUUUAAACGGACGUGUCUUUAUCAAGCUAAUAUUUACAGAGCCAGGCCUUGGGGAGAGGGUUGUGUUGAAAGCCACUGUGUAUGCGUGUUUCAAUAUGUUAACAAGUGCCACAGGAUUUGCUUUUUCUUCCCCUAACUGCUUCUUGCUGUUAGAAUGUUAAUCUGGCUAAAUCCAUUCAGCUUCAGACGUUUGGAAAUCAGUCACCUAGUGCUUGAGGCCGGAACAGGAGACCCACUUACACAUCUCAAGCAAAGCAGGUGAGGGGAGGGCACUCCCUCGGAUCCAGAUCGGUGCAGAAACCAAAGCGAUUGUUCAGCCAAAGUUUCAGGUUGGUUUCUAAAAAUAAGGAUCUGACUCACCCUUUCCUCAAGCGGAGAAAGCUUUAUUCCUUUUCCCUCCGCAGCUCCUGGUUGGUUAACUCAUGUCUUAGCAGCUGCGUGGGCAGGUUGUCAUAGGUGGUGUGGCAGGGAGGGAGAAAAGCGAACUGGCUCUGAAGUCAGAUCUAAGUCAAAUCCUCCCUCGCCGAGAGAGAGAGAGAGAGAGAGAGAGAGAGAGAGAGAGAGAGAGAGAGAGAUUGAGAGUUUUAACCAAUUUACUUCUUUGAGUUUCAGUUUCCUCCUGUAAGAGGGGGGCAUUAACACUGGAUUCGUUUUUCUGCUGCUGCGUAACACAUCAGCACACAUCUAGAGGAUUGGAACAACACCCAUUAUUACCUCACAGCUGUGCAGGUCAGAAGUCCCAGAUGGCGUAACUGAGUCAGAGCCUCCCAGGCUGGAAUCCGGUAUCUCGGCUGUGCUCUCACCGAGAGCUCAGGCCCCCUUCUACGUGCAUUCCUGUUCUUGGCAGAACUCAGUUCCUUGCAGAGUCAUGAAGUCUGUGAAUAAAGACGCCAAGGCUAGUGGCCCAGUCCCAAACUGAAUGAUCGCCCUUUGGAAAGUGAACCCUGGAGUGCAAUAAGAAGGCUUCGCUGCAGUGUCACACAGCACGGCAGGUUUGCCUGCUUCUCAGAAUCAACAAACCACGGCAAUGUGAGAUGUUUUUCUUGAAAGAAAGAAAGAGAGAAAGAAAGAAAGUAGAAAGAAAG